rnacentral:lncRNA from 1 species
AUGUCUCUGGGAGUAGGGAGGGAGUGGGCCCCGCUGACGGUGAAAGGCUGGCCGGCCCCUCCGCGGCGGUGGAGAGCUGUUGCAAUCAUCGUCUCGGGGGGCAGUGAGCAGCUCAGGCACCCCACCCCCCCGGGGGGUGGUGGUGAGUCCAGAUCCCCGAAGGCUGCAGGGCGUCGGCGGGAGCGAUGCGGUGGACGGUGGGGGCACGGCAGCGGCAGCGCAGGUCUCUGGGCACCCGGAUGCCGGCCUGGGAGUCCGGCCAGGCGCCGGCGGUCGGCGGGCGCCGGGCUGCAGGUGGUCCGUCCCGCGUGUAACAGGAGCCCGGCUUGCAGCUGGAGCGCAGGACCGGGUCCAAGGGUGCACGGGAGGGGCCGGGCCGGCCCGAGAGGGCGGCGGCCGGUCCGCACCAGGCCUGGAGGCGGCGGAGGCGGCGGGAACCUGGAGCGCUAUUCCUGGAACAAAGGCAAGCACGACGCGGGAGGGGACACGAGCGCGCGGGGAGAGCGCGGCCACCCGAAGGUGAGGGACGGGGGAGGCGCGGCGGGAGGGCGCCCGCGGCGGUCUGCGCGGCUGGGCGACGGGCAGAGCGGACCCUCCCGCGGGCACCCGCCCCCGGGCCCGAGGGGCUCCCGGCCUAGAAGUCCUCGUCCUCCACCCAUCCAAAGACCCGCUUCAUCUCGGCCAGGAAGCCCCGGUAAUCGUUGAGGAGGGGGCUCUGCUUCCUGAUGUAGGGGAUCACCCACUGCAGGGCCGGCCCGGUGAGGCGGGUGAUGAGGAACGUCACCUUCAGGCUGUCGUUGGAGAACAGGGUCUCGUCCACGAGCAUGUAGGCGCCCGUCUGCACGAUAAACUCCGGGAGCCGGUCGGUGUCGCCGUCAAACGUCUCGGGGAAGGGGAUCGGGUUCCUCCACCGACGCGUCUGGGGCCGGAUGGGUAAGGCCAGGAGGGCCUUGAUCAGCUGCACCCGGCCGUCCAUCGCGCCUCGCUCGCCUGGCUGGGCUGCAGGGGCCUCUCGGCGAGGUGGGCGAGGAGGCGGGGCGGGAAGUGCGUGUGCGGGGAGGCGGGGCGGGCCCGGCGGGGCGGGCGGGGCCGUGGGCGGUGCUCGGCGCCGGCGGGCCCCGCCCACAGUGCCUGGCGUCACGUAGUGCGCAGGCGCAACAUUGAGGCCGCCGUUAGGAGGGCGGGACGGGGCCAAAAAGGUGAAUGGGGGCGGAGCUAAGGUCCGCUCGAGGAGGCGGGGUCAGAAUCACGGGGCGGGGCCGAAGUUUCCAGAGGCCGGAUGUAGGAGUCUUAAGCGGUGGGGGAUCCUCGAACCUGGCGGGUGGUUUGCAGUGCGCAGGCGUAACACGGGGGGUCGCGCUAGGUUCGGAGUGGACUGUCCCUUCCCUGCACAGGAAAGAGAAAGGGGGAGUGGGUAAUAGCCACUCAAGGGGUGUGGUGGAAGCGGGAGGGGCGGGGCCAAAGUUUCCCUUGGCAGGAGGCGGAUGAGAGGCGGGGGCCAGGGGAGGGGCCCAGGACUCAAUGCUCCUGAUUAGGCAAGAGCCGGCAGCUGGUGGAGAGCUGAGUCCCUUUUCUAGAAGUAGAGUCCUACCUUUUCCUCC